rnacentral:rRNA from 1 species
GUUAAGAAUCUUGCACAAUGGGCGCAAGCCUGAUGCAGCGACGCCGCGUGGAUGAUGAAGGCCUUCGGGUUGUAAAGUCCGGUAAGCAGGGAAGAAUAAGCAACGGGUAAUAUUCGUUGUGAUGACGGUACCUGCCUAAAGCCCCGGCUAACUACGUGCCAGCAGCCGCGGUAAUACGUAUGGGGCAAGCGUUGUUCGGAAUUAUUGGGCGUAAAGGGCGUCUAGGCGGGGGAUUAAGUUAGAUGUGAAAGCUAUGGGCUCAACCCAUAAAUUGCAUCUAAGACUGGUUCUCUUGAGUCCGGGAGAGGAGAGCGGAAUUCCAGGUGUAGCGGUGAAAUGCGUAGAUAUCUGGAAGAACACCAGUGGCGAAGGCGGCUCUCUGGCCUAGGACUGACGCUGAAGCGCGAAAGCGUGGGGAGCGAACAGGAUUAGAAACCCUUGUAGUCC